AUGAACGCUGGCGGCGUGCCUAAUACAUGCAAGUCGAGCGGAAUGAUGAAGAAGCUUGCUUCUUCUGAUUUUAGCGGCGGACGGGUGAGUAACACGUGGGCAACCUACCUUGUAGAUUGGGAUAACUCCGGGAAACCGGGGCUAAUACCGAAUAAUCCAUUUUGCUUCAUGGCGAGAUGUUGAAAGACGGUUUCGGCUGUCACUACAAGAUGGGCCCGCGGCGCAUUAGCUAGUUGGUAGGGUAAUGGCCUACCAAGGCGACGAUGCGUAGCCGACCUGAGAGGGUGAUCGGCCACACUGGGACUGAGACACGGCCCAGACUCCUACGGGAGGCAGCAGUAGGGAAUCUUCCACAAUGGACGAAAGUCUGAUGGAGCAACGCCGCGUGAGUGAAGAAGGUUUUCGGAUCGUAAAACUCUGUUGUAAGGGAAGAACACGUACGAGAGUAACUGCUCGUACCUUGACGGUACCUUAUUAGAAAGCCACGGCUAACUACGUG
rnacentral:rRNA from 1 species